GGGUGAGUGCUCGCACAGCACUAGAUUGGAAAUGCAAGGGAGGGAAGAAGCGGCUACACUGGCACCAGCUCGUGGGUUGCACAACUAUAAAACAGUAAAGGAUUAGCUCAUUCGUAUUAAUGAGCCACACAGCUUUGCUUAUCCAUAUUAUACCUGGAGCAAUGGGACACAGUGAUCACUGACGUCCUACUUUUUCUGUGAACAUCAUCUAAAGGACACUGUGAGGAGGUCACUUCACAGACAAAACACCUUUCAUGUCCUCAGGCCCCACUUCAAAUGGGAAAAUCUAAAGCAUCGGGUACAAAAGGCAGAUUGUGCUUUUGCUCUACAAAGGCUUCUCUGAAAUUCCCAAUGACAUCUAGAAAUACACCUAAAUUUGAAAAAAUGAAACCUUUCCAGUAAACGUGACCACACAUCUGCCAGAAGCUACCCUGAGAAUCACUAUCUUGCAGUGUCCAGAAUACUUAGGCUUUAGACUUCAGCUUUGAACUUACAUAGUAGGAGACUUUGAACAGAACACUGUGAUUAAGGUUCAUAUCAUACCUGUCAUGAAUAUUCAUAAGUUUUGGUCUUGUGCCUUUGCAAUGCACAGAAAAUUAUGGAAUGAAGUAAAGAUCCAAGUUCUGUUAGACCAUUUUUAUGCUAACUUUACCGGAAUAAAAAAUAACUGUCUGCAUAGAAUUAAAAACAUUCAAUUGCACUUUUAUCCAUGAAAAGGUUGAAGGAUGUAGUUAUUGCUACAUCUAAAAUGUGUCUUUGAGUGUCAGUGUUGAAUUGGUUCAACGUCUCUUUUGUUUUUACUAGAAUUUUUAUUAUGUGUGUAAGGACAUAUUUGGUUUUCCUUGUGUUUGGAUUUUGAAAUAUUUUACUGCUGGUGGUAAAAAUUAUUAUUAUUUGCUAAAAAUUAACAGCAGCAGUAGUCCUGUGAAUCAAUUUCACUGUGGUAUUUGAUUCAAGAUGAAGUAAAAAGUGAAUUAGUCAUGUAUCCAAUUUUUGCUUCCAUUACUUUGCUUCAAAUACUUUAUCAUAUAUUGCUGAUGCAUAUUCUCCUAAGUGAAAACAGUAGUUCAACACAUCUUAGCCUGAAAAUGUUCAUGUGGAUGUGAUGAAUAUACAAUACACCUGGAAGGAAUAUCAGCUCAUUUAUAUCUGAGCUGGUGCAUUGUGGACUUCUUUUUAACAUAAUCUUUCUUUAGUGUCACUUUACUUGGGCCAAAAUCAAGUUUGUAUGGAAACUGUUUUACAGCUUGUGUGGAUUGAACUUGUGGUUUUGAUUUGUUUCCUAAUAAGGUGGUCUAGGUUAGUAACUGUGAAAGCUGCCUGUACCUGGCACAUUUUAUGGUCCUUUUGUCAAGAUUAAAGAGAUAAGAAAGGCAAAUCCUCAGGGAACCACUAAACAUGCAGAGUUUUUUUGAUUACCAGUGAGAGAUGAAGUGGAUAAGUUUGAUCCUCAUGACGUGGUGUCUGUUCUGUAAACAAAGAAAAUCUCUCAUCCACAGAUGCUUGUUUGGACAUUUUCCCUAAAAGAUGUUUUCAUAUAUGAAACCCCCAAAAGUUUGAAUGUAUUUUGUACCUUGGCAACCAGAUGAUGUUGAGGCACUGUCAGGGAAGUGCUGAUCCUACAUUUCGUUAUCCUGUCUUUAAUGCAGAGGACAGAGUUAUGCUGUGUUGUAUCUUUUAUAGAGAUAUCAGGGUGCUUUUUUACAACAUGGGAAGGAGAAAUAGAAGAUUCAGCAGGACAGGAACUUUAUGUUAGUAGCCAAAACAAUAAAAUCUGCCCUAGAAUUACCACUUUCCAGCAGCAGUAAUUCCAACAGAGACAUAAAAGUACUGCUGAGCAGCUUAUACAUGAAUAGAUAGGGAUAUAGAAUAGUCCCUUAUAAGUUGAAGGGUAGAGGAAAGGGGUACUAUUUAAUUACUGCAACUGGCAAAAUGCUGUAUGUAAAUGCAUAGAAAGGAGUAAUCACUGGUUGAUGUGUUGCUAAGGUUUCCUUUUCUUGGUUG